rnacentral:misc_RNA from 1 species
AGAGUUUGUAACACCCAAAGCCGGUGGGAUAACCUUUAGGGCCAGCCGCCUAAGGUGGGACAGAUGAUUAAGGUGAAGUCGUAACAAGGUAGCCGUAAGAAAACCUGGGGCUGGAUCACCUCCUUUUUUAAGGAAUAACGGGGAUCUACCUCCUUGCAGAAACUUUGUUAACUUUUAAGGGCUUAUCUCACUCAAUUUCUAUAAUUUGAAACUAGAUAAUAUCAAUUAUUAUUAAUAAAAUAAUUAACAAACCGAGAACACCGCGUUUUAAAGAGUUUAAAACAAGAGAAAUCUUGAACGCUAAACUCAUAACCGCUUUACCGUAGGUAAAUAUUAGGUUAAGUUAGGAAGGGCGCAUGGUGAAUGCCUUGGUACUAGGAGCCGAUGAAGGACGGGACUAACACCGAUAUGCUUCGGGGAGCUGUACGUAAGCUAUGAUCCGGAGAUUUCCGAAUGGGGCAACCUAAUAGUUUUAACCGACUAUUAUCCGCAUAUGAAUUCAUACACCGUGUGAAAGGAU